AAGGCAGGGCACGCUGCCUCCCACCAGCUGGCCAGAGAGUGCCAUGUAGUCAGGAGCCAUCAUGGUGACAGGCAGCAGCCUUGAUGCAUGAAACCUACCUGAGACUGUUCUAGGUACUGAAGAGAUAGCUGUGAACAAAACAGACAAAAAUCCAUGCCCUCAUGGAGCGUCCAUGCUAGAAAGGAGAGAGAGACUCUAAUUAAUAAAUCCUGAAAACGAAAUGGAUGUUAACUAGAGGGACCAUCUUGGACCAAGCUCAGCAGGGAGUUCCCUCAGCAACUUGAAAGCCCUGACUGUGUGACAGCUUUGUCGGGAGGACUCACAUA